rnacentral:rRNA from 1 species
ACCUUCGGUGAGCGGCGGACGGGUUAGUAACGCGUGGGAACGUACCCUUUUCUACGGAAUAGCCUCGGGAAACUGAGAGUAAUACCGUAUAAGCCCUUCGGGGGAAAGAUUUAUCGGGAAAGGAUCGGCCCGCGUUAGAUUAGAUAGUUGGUGGGGUAACGGCCUACCAAGUCUACGAUCUAUAGCUGGUUUUAGAGGAUGAUCAGCAACACUGGGACUGAGACACGGCCCAGACUCCUACGGGAGGCAGCAGUGGGGAAUCUUGGACAAUGGGCGCAAGCCUGAUCCAGCCAUGCCGCGUGAGUGAUGAAGGCCUUAGGGUCGUAAAGCUCUUUCGCCAGGGAUGAUAAUGACAGUACCUGGUAAAGAAACCCCGGCUAACUCCGUGCCAGCAGCCGCGGUAAUACGGAGGGGGUUAGCGUUGUUCGGAAUUACUGGGCGUAAAGCGCACGUAGGCGGAUCAGAAAGUUGGGGGUGAAAUCCCAGGGCUCAACCCUGGAACUGCCUCCAAAACUCCUGGUCUAGAGUUCGAGAGAGGUGAGUGGAAUUCCGAGUGUAGAGGUGAAAUUCGUAGAUAUUCG